rnacentral:rRNA from 1 species
CCUACGGGGGACAGCAGUGAGGAAUAUUGGUCAAUGGGCGAGAGCCUGAACCAGCCAAGUCGCGUGAGGGAGUACUGCCCUAUGGGUUGUACACCUCUUUUAUAUGGGAAUAAAAUGUUCCACGUGUGGGAUUUUGUAUGUACCAUAUGAAUAAGGAUCGGCUAACUCCGUGCCAGCAGCCGCGGUAAUACGGAGGAUCCGAGCGUUAUCCGGAUUUAUUGGGUUUAAAGGGAGCGUAGGUGGAUUGUUAAGUCAGUUGUGAAAGUUUGCGGCUAAACCGUAAAAUUGCAUUUGAAACUGGCAGUCUGGAGUACAGUUGAGGUAGGCGGAAUUCGUGGUGUAGCGGUGAAAUGCUUAGAUAUCACGAAGAACCCCGAUUGCGAAGGCAGCUUACUAAACUGUGACUGACAUUGAUGCUCGAAAGUGUGGGUAUCAAACAGGAUUAGAUACCCUAGUAGUC